GCAAAUAUAGUUUAACAAAAAACAUUAGAUUGUGAACUAAACAUAGAAGUUCAAACCUUCUUAUAGGCC
rnacentral:tRNA from 1 species